rnacentral:rRNA from 1 species
GACGAACGCUGGCGGCGUGCUUAACACAUGCAAGUCGAACGGAAAGGCCCUGCUUUUGUGGGGUGCUCGAGUGGCGAAAGGGUGAGUAACACGUGAGUAACCUGCCCUUGACUUUGGGAUAACUUCAGGAAACUGGGGCUAAUACCGGAUAGGAGCUCCUGCUGCAUGGUGGGGGUUGGAAAGUUUCGGCGGUUGGGGAUGGACUCGCGGCUUAUCAGCUUGUUGGUGGGGUAGUGGCUUACCAAGGCUUUGACGGGUGGCCGGCCUGAGAGGGUGACCGGCCACAUUGGGACUGCGAUACGGCCCAGACUCCUACGGGAGGCAGCAGUGGGGAAUAUUGCACAAUGGGCGGAAGCCUGAUGCAGCAGCGCCGCGUGCGGGAUGACGGCCUUCGGGUUGUAAACCGCUUUCGCAUGUGACGAAGCGUGAGUGACGGUAAUGGGUAAAGAAGCACCGGCUAACUACGUG